rnacentral:rRNA from 1 species
AGUGAACGCUGGCGGUAGGCCUAACACAUGCAAGUCGAACGGCAGCACAGUAAGAGCUUGCUCUUACGGGUGGCGAGUGGCGGACGGGUGAGGAAUACAUCGGAAUCUACUUUUUCGUGGGGGAUAACGUAGGGAAACUUACGCUAAUACCGCAUACGACCUACGGGUGAAAGCAGGGGAUCUUCGGACCUUGCGCGAUUGAAUGAGCCGAUGUCGGAUUAGCUAGUUGGCGGGGUAAAGGCCCACCAAGGCGACGAUCCGUAGCUGGUCUGAGAGGAUGAUCAGCCACACUGGAACUGAGACACGGUCCAGACUCCUACGGGAGGCAGCAGUGGGGAAUAUUGGACAAUGGGCGCAAGCCUGAUCCAGCUAUACCGCGUGGGUGAAGAAGGCCUUCGGGUUGUAAAGCCCUUUUGUUGGGAAAGAAAAGCAGCAGGUUAAUACCCCACUGUUCUGACGGUACCCAAAGAAUAAGCACCGGCUAACUUCGUG